rnacentral:rRNA from 1 species
GACGAACGCUGGCGGCGUGCUUAACACAUGCAAGUCGAACGGAAAGGCCCUGCUUGCAGGGUACUCGAGUGGCGAACGGGUGAGUAACACGUGGGUGAUCUGCCCUGCACUUCGGGAUAAGCCUGGGAAACUGGGUCUAAUACCGGAUAGGAGCCAUUUUUAGUGUGAUGGUUGGAAAGUUUUUUCGGUGUAGGAUGAGCUCGCGGCCUAUCAGCUUGUUGGUGGGGUAAUGGCCUACCAAGGCGGCGACGGGUAGCCGGCCUGGGAGGGUGGACGGCCACAUUGGGACUGAGAUACGGCCCAGACUCCUACGGGAGGCAGCAGUGGGGAAUAUUGCACAAUGGGCGCAAGCCUGAUGCAGCGACGCCGCGUGGGGGAUGACGGCCUUCGGGUUGGAAACUCGUUUCGCUAGGGACGAAGCUUUUUGUGACGGUACCUAGAGAAGAAGCACCGGCUAACUACGUG